CCUACGGGAGGCAGCAGUGAGGAAUAUUGGUCAAUGGGCGGGAGCCUGAACCAGCCAAGCCGCGUGAAGGAAGAAGGCGUCAGGCGUCGUAAACUUCUUUUGUCGGGGAACAAAGGGCGCCACGUGUGGCGUUGUGAGUGUACCCGAAGAAAAAGCAUCGGCUAACUUCGUGCCAGCAGCCGCGGUACUACGGAGGAUGCGAGCGUUAUCCGGAUGUAUUGGGUUAAAAGGGUGCGUAGGCGGUCCGGAAAGUCAGGGGUAAAAGCCCGGGGCUCAACCCCGGCGAGCCGUUGAGACUAUCGGACUAGAGACAGCUAGAGGUACGCGGAAUGCGCGGUGUAGCGGUGAAAUGCGUAGAUAUCGGGAAGAACACCGAUUGCGAAGGCAGCGUACCGGCGCCGGACUGACGCUGAGGCACGAAAGCGUGGGUAUCGAACAGGAUUAGAUACCCCUGUAGUC
rnacentral:rRNA from 1 species